UAGUACACGCUUGUCUCAAAGACUAAGCCAUGCAUGUCUGAGUUAUUUUAAACUGCGAAUGGCUCAUUAAAACAGUUAUUGUUUACAGAUAUUUGGCUUUAAAUGGAUAUCCGUGGUAAACCAGAGCUAAUACAUGCGUUACGUCCGACUUUCUACGAAGGACAGUAUUUACCCUAAGCUACCUCUUGGUAACUGAGUAACUGAUCGAAUCGCCAUUUUGUGCGAUGAAUCUACAAGUUUCUGCCCUAUCAGCUAGACUGAAGUGUCUUGGACUAUAAUGGCCGUCACGGGUAACGGGGAUUAGGGUUCGAUACCGGAGAGGGAGCCUGAGAAACGGCUACCACUUUUACGGAAGGCAGCAGGCGCGUACAAUACCCAAUCCUAAUUCAGGGAGGUUGUGACAAGAAAUAACAGACCGGAUUCCGGGUUUGCAAUGGGUUACACUUACACUCAAACACUAGGAACCAUUGGAGGGCAAGUCUGGUGCCAGCAGCCGCGGUAAUUCCAGCUCGAAUAGCUUGAGUUAAAUUUGUUGCAGUUAAAAGCUCGUAGUUGGACUUCUGAACUCAGCAAUCGCUUCCUGCGCUUGUUGGCUUCAUCCAUCUGUCAACGGUUCAUGGUCUUGUCGACUGGUUCCGGGCUCUGAUACUGACCAUGAGGAAAUUAGAGUGUUCGA
rnacentral:rRNA from 1 species